rnacentral:rRNA from 1 species
CCUACGUGCGGCAGCCGUGGGGAAUAUUGCGCAAUGGGCGAAAGCCUGACGCAGCGACGCCGCGUGAGGGAUGAAGGUCUUCGGAUCGUAAACCUCUGUCAGCAGGGAAGAACGGUCACUGUGCUAAUCAGCAGUGAAUUGACGGUACCUGCAAAGGAAGCACCGGCUAACUCCGUGCCAGCAGCCGCGGUAAUACGGAGGGUGCGAGCGUUAAUCGUAAUUACUGGGCGUAAAGCGCUCGUAGGCGGUAUGUCAAGUCAAGGGUGAAAUCCCCGCGCUCAACGUGGGAACUGCCUUUGAAGCUGGCAAACUGGAGUGUGUGAGAGGAUAGUGGAAUUCCAGGUGUAGGAGUGAAAUCCGUAGAUAUCUGGAGGAACAUCAGUGGCGAAGGCGACUAUCUGGCACAUAACUGACGCUGAGGAGCGAAAGCGUGGGUAGCAAACAGGAUUAGAUACCCCGGUAGUC